UACGUAGGGUGCAAGCGUUGUCCGGAAUUAUUGGGCGUAAAGAGCUCGUAGGUGGUCUAUCACGUCGGAUGUGAAACCCUGAGGCUCAACCUCAGGCCUGCAUUCGAUACGGGCAGACUAGAGUGUGGUAGGGGAGACUGGAAUUCCUGGUGUAGCGGUGAAAUGCGCAGAUAUCAGGAGGAACACCGGUGGCGAAGGCGGCUCUCUGGACCAGCACUGACACUGAGGCACGAAAGCGUGGGGAGCAAACAGG
rnacentral:rRNA from 1 species